rnacentral:rRNA from 1 species
GACGAACGCUGGCGGCGUGCUUAACACAUGCAAGUCGAGCGGAAAGGCCCUGCUUUUGUGGGGUGCUUGAGUGGCGAACGGGUGAGUAACACGUGAGUAACCUGCCCUUGACUUUGGGAUAACUUCAGGAAACUGGGGCUAAUACCGGAUAGGAGCUCCUGCUGCAUGGUGGGGGUUGGAAAGUUUCGGCGGUUGGGGAUGGACUCGCGGCUUAUCAGCUUGUUGGUGGGGUAGUGGCUUACCAAGGCUUUGACGGGUAGCCGGCCUGAGAGGGUGACCGGCCACAUUGGGACUGAGAUACGGCCCAGACUCCUACGGGAGGCAGCAGUGGGGAAUAUUGCACAAUGGGCGGAAGCCUGAUGCAGCAACGCCGCGUGCGGGAUGACGGCCUUCGGGUUGUAAACCGCUUUCGCCUGUGACGAAGCGUGAGUGACGGUAAUGGGUAAAGAAGCACCGGCUAACUACGUG